GCUGUAUUAGCACCGUGGUGUGCUAAACAGUGAUUCAGCACACUACAUGUGCUGUUUUGUAGGCAUAUAGCACAGCCUACGUGUUGUAUUGGUGUGCUUUUUCAUGGCUUGUAAUUUUGAUGUUCGAUUAAUGUACUGUGCUAAAUGUAAUGGGUGUGCUGAAACAGGUAAACAUGCUAAUUCAGCACAGUGUGCUGUUUUCAGUACCAAAUAAGGGCAUGCAGUACAACAGAUGUGCAGCUGCAGCUGCAUAGCAACAAAGACUUUAUUUGCUGUUCUUGCAAAGAAGAAAAGAAGCUGAGUUUAGACUGUUUGACAAAACCUGUGGAACUCGGAUGAUGCUGAAAGUGACACGUGUUGGAGAGAGCAUUAUACUGGACACCCUUGUAUGACCAGACCAUUGUAAAGUAUCGACACAAUUGGAGGUGAUACUGAGAAGUCAAAGGCAGUAUCUUGCAAUUGCAGUGAACUGAGUGCAGACUUGUUGUGUUGCAUGUUAAAAGAAACCUUUCACUUUCGUAUAUCCUUAUCGUUUGUUUAGAUACAAUUUUAAUACUGAAUUGAUGUAUUGUUGUUUUUAAUGUUUGAAAUUAAUUUAGCACAAUACAAUCAGCACAGAUGGAUGUUUCAGCACAUUAGAAUUUAGCACAUGUGUCGGUUUAGCACAUUAGGUUGUUUAGCACAUGUGCAAAUGUGCUAAAACUGGAGACAUUGGUUUAGCACGGUUUUCUGUGCUAAAUCAGCACGUCUUUUUUCUCUGUGUAUACAACAGUGUUAGUCUCGAAUUCCAGCCGUUUCAAGAAUGCAACCGAUUUAAAUUGUGGGUUAUUAUCCAUGUGGACCAACUGCGCAGGCACAAAAAGCUUCUAAGUCUUGCAUUCAACAUGUUGAAAAAGGUGGCAAACCUAGAGACCUUUCUCACUAACCCCAUAGUCUAACUACAAAUCCCAAAAGGGAAAAUUCAGAUCGGAACUCCGCCACCACAUGCAUGCAGGAAAGACCUCCUCAAUGAAUUUCUAGACAGCUUGGAUGAGACAGACAGAGAUCAGAAAAAACUGUUUAGCGACAUCAGAAGAAAACAUUUUGGAGGGAUGGAUGACACACUACACCAAGCUGUUUUGCCCUCUGACGAUCCGUCCUACAAUUCUAACUUACUGUAAAAG